rnacentral:rRNA from 1 species
UACGGAGGGUGCAAGCGUUAUCCGGAUUCACUGGGUUUAAAGGGUGCGUAGGCGGCGCGGUAAGUCGGGUGUGAAAUCUCGGGGCUUAACUCCGAAACUGCAUUCGAUACUGCCGUGCUUGAGGACUGGAGAGGAGACUGGAGUUUACGGUGUAGCGGUGAAAUGCGUAGAUAUCGUAAGGAAGACCAGUGGCGAAGGCGGGUCUCUGGACAGUUCCUGACGCUGAGGCACGAAGGUCAGGGGAGCAAACGGG